rnacentral:misc_RNA from 1 species
CUGCCAGUUUUACCCAGAAUGCUCCGCGCGCGGUAGUCCCCCACCCAUCCUCCGCUAGCCACUUCCUCGGUGGAUAACACCCAUGCCUGUUUCGGAAGAUGGACAGCAGGUUUUUCGGUGGUGACUAAACGGACCCGGCCCAAUGGAUAGUUUCUCAGAGAUGUACCUGGAAUAACUAUACUGCAGUGGUUUGCUUCCUCUUGUGCGGUAAUCUUUGGAACCAACGGCGGAGUGCAAGACGUUGUUAGGCCUAAUGUCAUGGGCUGUUUUGGAGGCUCGAGCUCAAAAAGCGACGCCGAAGAGGAUAAACGCCGGAAGGAAGCCAAUAAGAAAAUCGAGAAACAGAUUCAAAAGGACAAACAGAUUUAUAGAGCAACACACCGGCUGUUAUUACUAGGUGCCGGUGAAUCUGGAAAGAGUACAAUAGUGAAACAGAUGAGAAUACUCCAUGUGAAUGGUUUUAGUGAGGAAGAGAAGAAACAAAAAAUAGAAGAUAUAAAAAAGAACAUACGAGAUGCAAUCCUGACUAUCACAGGUGCCAUGAGCACGCUGGUGCCACCGGUACAGCUGGAGAAAUCUGAAAAUCAAUGGCGGGUGGACUACAUUCAGGAUGUUGCCAGCUCCCCAGACUUCGACUACCCUGCGGAGUUCUACGAGCACACAGAGAUCCUCUGGAAAGACAAAGGUGUCCAAGCUGCCUUUGAACGCUCAAAUGAGUACCAGCUGAUUGACUGUGCGAAGUAUUUUCUGGACAGAGUGGCUACAAUUAAGCAACCAGAUUAUACUCCAAAUGAACAGGACAUUCUGCGGUGCCGAGUGUUAACCUCAGGAAUUUUUGAGACAAAAUUUCAAGUGGACAAGGUCAACUUCCACAUGUUUGACGUGGGUGGGCAAAGAGACGAAAGGCGCAAGUGGAUCCAAUGUUUUAAUGACGUGACGGCCAUCAUCUUCGUAACCGCCUGCAGCAGCUAUAAUAUGGUGCUUCGAGAGGAUCCCAAUCAAAACCGGUUGAGGGAGUCUCUUGAUCUGUUCAAGAGCAUCUGGAACAACAGGUGGUUACGAACGAUAUCUGUGAUCCUCUUCCUUAACAAGCAGGACUUGCUAGCGGAAAAAAUCAAGGCUGGCAAGUCUAGGUUAGAAGAGUAUUUUCAAGAAUUUGCGCACUACCAAACUCCCUCGGAUGAACCACGGUUAAAUCCAUUUCAACCUGGAACACCACACAACUGUACACGAAACCAGUCAGUGUAAACUCCUGAGUACACUCCAUAUCUCAGAGAGCCAUGGUACAACCUAUCCGCCGCAAGCUGUUAUUGAAACGGGAGAAGACCCUGAAGUCAUUCGAGCAAA